UACGGAGGGUGCAAGCGUUAUCCGGAUUCACUGGGUUUAAAGGGUGCGUAGGUGGAUCGGUAAGUCCGCGGUGAAAUCCCCGAGCUUAACUCGGGAACUGCCAUGGAUACUAUCGAUCUUGAAUACUGUGGAGGUAAGCGGAAUAUGUCAUGUAGCGGUGAAAUGCUUAGAUAUGACAUAGAACACCGAUAGCGAAGGCAGCUUGCUACACAGUCAUUGACACUGAGGCACGAAAGCGUGGGGAGCGAACAGG
rnacentral:rRNA from 1 species